CUUCCAGUAGCACCUUAGAGACCAACUAAGUUUGUUACUGGUAUGAGUUUUCAUGUGCAUGCACCAAAUAACAAACUUAGUCGAUCUCUAAGGUGCUACUGGAAG